CGUGGGGGCGAGCUUGCUCGCGAUAGCGGUUUGCCUGUGACAUCAACGCCAGACAGAUUGCAAUCGCGGGCAAGCUCGCUCCCACA
rnacentral:misc_RNA from 1 species